UCUGCGGUUAGUGUAAAAAUAGCGGUGGCGGUGAGAUUAGUAACUGUAGUGAUACUGUAGAGUGAGAUAAAAAGUAAACUAAACGCACCGCACCGCACUCAAUCGCCCAUCCAAACCCAGCCUUAGAAUCAAAAGCAUUCAACAGUGGCCUGAAAUCACCACUAUCUAUUUUCUCCUCCUGACUCUUAUUUUCCUUCACUAUUGUUUUCCCUGAUCGGUGAGCAGCCCAACAAUACCUUGAACCUGAUUUUCAUUUUACAGUACUAGAGAUGCUCCCCCAACCGUUCCUCGUAGAUCUUUCUCCACUGCCUCUUCUGUAAAAUUCGGGACCCCGUCAAGAAGAUAAGUAUUCAUUUCCCCCCUUAAUCCUUCAACGGCCAAAAGAUGAGCCACUUGGUUCCCCUACCUCUGAAUAUACGAGAAUCCACAGUUUUUAAAUCUCUUUCUCAAAGAGUAUGUAAGCACUGAUGCAUGAAUCAUCGUUCUUGUUUGCUUGUUGUUUCUUUAUCACCAUAAGUGAAUCGCCUUCGAUCACCACAUCUUGAAACCCCGAAUCAAUGCCCAAUUGGAUUACUUGGAGACAUGCAAUAGCUUCCGCAGCAAACCUUGGUUGAAUGUGAUUAUUAAUAAUUGUUGUUGACCCCAGAACAACCCCUUUUGAUUUCAGGGAAUGAGCUUGAAAAGCCCCAUCAAAACUUACCUUUAUGAAAGCGUUCUCUGAAGGCCUCCAUCUUACAAUCUCAACUCUCGUAACAUUCCAUAACACCCAAAAGGUACACCCCACCAUCCUGCAAAUCUGGCUAGAUGAGUGAUAUAAUCACGAAACGAGUGCUCAAGAGUUUUCGGGCCAUUCAGACACCUUGGGCAGACCAGAGACCCCACUAAUCUUCUAUUGUAGAGGUUGUAGAAAUUAGCAAUAUAAUUUCGAAAAAUCCUUCAGACUGUAAUUUUUAUA